rnacentral:rRNA from 1 species
GCUGACGACCGGCGCACGGGUGAGUAACGCGUAUACAACCUACCUUUAACAGGAGGAUAGCCCCGAGAAAUCGGGAUUAAUACUCCAUAAUAAUAUUUAAUGGCAUCAUUUUGUAUUUAAAACUCCGGUGGUUAAAGAUGGGUAUGCGUGACAUUAGUUAGUUGGUAAGGUAACGGCUUACCAAGACUUCGAUGUCUAGGGGUUCUGAGAGGAUGAUCCCCCACACUGGUACUGAGACACGGACCAGACUCCUACGGGAGGCAGCAGUGAGGAAUAUUGGUCAAUGGACGCAAGUCUGAACCAGCCAUGCCGCGUGCAGGAUGACGGCCCUAUGGGUUGUAAACUGCUUUUAUUUAGGAAUAACUCCUCGGUCGUGUAUCGAGGCUGAAGGUACUAAAAGAAUAAGCACCGGCUAACUCCGUGCCAGCAGCCGCGGUAAUACGGAGGGUGCAAGCGUUAUCCGGAUUCAUUGGGUUUAAAGGGUUCGCAGGCGGCGUAUUAAGUCAGUGGUGAAAUCCCGAGGCUCAACCUCGGAACUGCCAUUGAUACUGGUAUGCUAGAGUAUAGUUGGCGUUGGCGGAAUGUAUCAUGUAGCGGUGAAAUGCUUAGAUAUGAUACAGAACACCGGAUCGNGAAGGCAGCCUAACGAAACUAUAACUGACGCUCAGGAACGAAAGCGUGGGGAGCCGAACAGGAUUAGAUACCCUGGUAGUCCC